GUUAAGCGACUAAGCGUACACGGUGGAUGCCCUGGCAGUCAGAGGCGAUGAAGGACGUGCUAAUCUGCGAUAAGCGUCGGUGAGGUGAUAUGAACCGUUAUAACCGGCGAUUUCCGAAUGGGGAAACCCAGUGUGUUUCGACACACUAUCAUUAACUGAAUCCAUAGGUUAAUGAGGCGAACCGGGGGAACUGAAACAUCUAAGUACCCCGAGGAAAAGAAAUCAACCGAGAUUCCCCCAGUAGCGGCGAGCGAACGGGGAGGAGCCCAGAGCCUGAAUCAGU
rnacentral:rRNA from 1 species